rnacentral:tRNA from 1 species
GUGGGUAUAGCCCAGUGGUAGAGUACAUGCUUAGCAUGCACGAGGUACUGGGUUCAAUCCUCAGUAACUGCG